rnacentral:rRNA from 1 species
ACUUUCAACAACGGAUCUCUUGGUUCUGGCAUCGAUGAAGAACGCAGCAAAAUGCGAUAAGUAAUGUGAAUUGCAGAAUUCAGUGAAUCAUCGAAUCUUUGAACGCACAUUGCGCCCGCCAGUAUUCUGGCGGGCAUGCCUGUUCGAGCGUCAUUUCAACCCUCAAGCACAGCUUGGUGUUGGGACUCGCGUUAAUUCGCGUUCCUCAAAUUGAUUGGCGGUCACGUCGAGCUUCCAUAGCGUAGUAGUAAAACCCUCGUUACUGGUAAUCGUCGCGGCCACGCCGUUAAACCCCAACUUCUGAAUGUUGACCUCGGAUCAGGUAGGAAUACCCGCUGAACUUAAGCAUAUCAAAAGGCGGAGGAA